rnacentral:lncRNA from 1 species
UCGAUGACUCUUGACCGGUAACAUAAAUAACAUGAUAUAUCACAAACUUGAACCUAUAAAUAUUAUUGAUAUUUACUGAGGACGUUCUAAUAUUAUAUUAUAGCAGCGGCAGUACUUUGUAGAACAACAUUUCCAUAAAUAAUGAAAUCGGAUAAAGAGUUUUGUAUUGUCUUGGUAUUCUUUUAAGCAUUUACCAUAGUCGGUAAGUCUACGAUUUUGACGAUGACAUCUCAAAAAAUGAAAGGUGAUAUUGCAUGGUUUUUUUUUCAUAAUCGAUUUCUUAUAUUACUAGCAUGUAAAAUAAACGAAAUAUGGGUUAAUUA